AGCAGGACAGUGUUUCCAAGAAGCACAAGAGUUUUAUGACGGCUUCAUAUCUGGUGAUAAAUGUUUGUUUGACUUUCCUUUUCAUUUUCUUUUUGUUUGGAGAUUUUUUUUUUUUUAAAUUUCCCCACAUUGUUGGGGUUUUUUGUUGUUUUUUUUUUCUUUUUUUCUUUUUCCCUCCAAAUUUGUGUUUGCCUCUGUUUUCCAGGUUUUCCAAAUUGAGCCCAUGUUACGUUUGGAAUUAGAAGAAAUGUUACUUUAUGUAGCAGAUCAAUGAAUGCUGACUUUAACCUGCAGGUCAAGGAAAAAGCAAAUUAUUGGAGCAAUUCAUGAGAACAGUCAAUAUCAUUCAGUUGUCUAAUUUUCUCAGCGUAUUUCCUAGGCGGACAUGGUGUCAAAGAAAAUGUUUCGAAAACAUUCCUCCAUUGCAGGGUGAAAACGUGACUAAGUCUGACCAUGCUCGGAACUUGGAGCCUCUGUGUUCAUAUUACAGACAAAAGGAAACGCGCCCAAGGCUGUUCCAAGAGUUGGGACAUUCACGCGGCACCACUGGCCCUCACCAGAGCCGAAUGCAAAGAUAUUUGCGAGAAGAAUCCGUGCUACAAACGAAACACUUGAUGGGCACUGGCUUCCUCCUCAUGGAGAGGAUGAGGAAGCGCAGCAGGGGCUGCGGAGGAGCCAACCGUCAGCUGCAGAGCCAGACACCAGGAAGGAAAAGAGAGCUCGCCCUGCUGCCCUUCCGGUGGGCUGGGAGGCCUGACCAGCGCGGAGAAGGGGCCGAGAGGCAGCAACGCCUGUGA
rnacentral:lncRNA from 10 species